ACAAGAAAAAGAGAAUGUUGAAGAGGCUAUUUGUAAGGGGCUAGCUGCCGUGUAUUGAGAGAAGGGAGAAGGAGAGUGUGUGAGGUACAGAGAGAAAGAAAAGGGAAGAUGGAGGAGAAGAAAGUGAAGGGGUUCAAAAUUGUACUAGGUAAAGGGAAAGAAAAGCUCACCCAACCGUGAGUCGAAAGCUUAGGUGGUGUUGUGUACAUAUGCGGCCGCUUGACCACCACGGCAAAGGAUUUCUCAGAGGAACUAGGGGUUUACCCUAUUUUGCCGCUUAGAUCGGCAAGUUGUAAAUUUCAAACUGUAAUGACCAUUUUGCAUUGUAAAUAACUUGUAAAUGUUUUUAUGGGCCCAUGAACAGUUUUAUGUUAUAAAUAAAAUAUAUCCUCUCUUUUUGGUUGG